rnacentral:rRNA from 1 species
GGAUAGCGGCAAACGGGUGAGUAACACAUUGGUACAUACCACUAAGAUGGGCAUAACUUCGCGAAAGCGGAGCUAAUACCCAAUGGUCUCUAACCUCGUAAGAGUGCUAGAGUAAAGGAGCAAUCCGCUUAGUGAUUGGCCUAUGUCCUAUCAGGUAGUUGGUAAGGUAAUGGCUUACCAAGCCGAUGACGGGUAGCGGGCGUGAGAGCGCGGCCCGCCUCAUUGGGACUGAGACACUGCCCAAUCUCCUACGGGAGGCUGCAGUUAAGAAUCUUCCUCAAUGGCCGAAAGGCUGAAGGAGUGACGCCGCGUGAGUGAUGAAGCCCUUCGGGGUGUAAAACUCUUUUCUAGAGGAAAAAGCCUUGUGUUUACACAAGGUUGAUGGUACUCUAGGAAUAAGCCACUGCUAACCUCGUGCCAGCAGCAGCGGUAAGACGAGGGUGGCAAGCGUUAUCCGGAUUUACUGGGCGUAAAGAGUGUGUAGGCGGUCUAAAAAGUUCUCGGUUAAAGCCCUUUGCUCAACAUAGGGAUUGCUGGGGAAACUAUUAGACUAGAGGCCGGAAGAGGCAAGCGGAAUUGCCGGUGGAGCGGUAAAAUGUGUUGAUAUCGGCAAGAACACCAAAAGCGAAGGCAGCUUGCUAGGACGGUUCUGACGCUGAGACACGAAAGCGUGGGGAGCGACAAGGAUUAGAUACCCUUUUAGUCCACGCCCUAAACAAUGGAUGCUGGGUACUGGAAGUGUCGACCCUUCCAGUGUCGCAAAAAAAAGCUAACGCGUUAAGCAUCCCGCCUGGGAACUACGGCCGCAAGGCUAAAACUCAAAGGAAUAGACGGGGAUUCGCACAAGCGGUGGAUCAUGUGGUUUAAUUCGAUAAUAAACGAGGAACCUUACCAGGGCUUGAAAUGUUAGAUGAAGCUGUUAGAAAUAAUAGCCGGUCCCUUCACGGGAAAGUCUAACACAGGUGCUGCAUGGUUGUCGUCAGCUCGUGCCUUGAGGUUUACCCUUAAGUGGGAUAACGAGCGCAACCCUUAUCUUUAGUUGUUCCGCUUUAAAACGGAAGAAAUCUAAAGAGACUGCCGGUGGUGAACCGGAGGAAGGAGAGGAUGACGUCAAAUCAGCACGGCUCUUACGUCCUGGGCGACACACAUGAUACAAUGGCCGGUACAAAGGGUCGCUAAGCCGUAAGGCGGAGCUAAUCCCAUUAAAGCCGGCCCCAGUUCGGAUUGAGGUCUGCAACUCGACCUCAUGAAGCCGGAAUCGCUAGUAACCGUAUAUCAGCCAUGAUACGGUGAAUACGUUCUCGAAUCUUGUACUCACCGCCUGUCACGUCAAGAGAGUCGGUAACACCCGAAAAUCUACGUUCGUGGAAAUAAGGUAGGACCGAUGAUAGGGACGAAGUCAUAACAAGGCACCGGUAGCGGAAGCUGUCGGUGGAUCACUUCUUU